rnacentral:rRNA from 1 species
UCUUCCCUCUUUCUUCGUGCCUAAUACAUGCAAGUCGAGCGAACAGGCGAGGAGCUUGCUCCUCUGACGUUAGCGGCGGACGGGUGAGUAACACGUGGAUAACCUACCUAUAAGACUGGGAUAACUUCGGGAAACCGGAGCUAAUACCGGAUAAUAUAUUGAACCGCAUGGUUCAAUAGUGAAAGACGGUUUUGCUGUCACUUAUAGAUGGAUCCGCGCCGCAUUAGCUAGUUGGUAAGGUAACGGCUUACCAAGGCAACGAUGCGUAGCCGACCUGAGAGGGUGAUCGGCCACACUGGAACUGAGACACGGUCCAGACUCCUACGGGAGGCAGCAGUAGGGAAUCUUCCGCAAUGGGCGAAAGCUUGACGGAGCAACGCCGCGUGAGUGAUGAAGGUCUUCGGAUCGUAAAACUCUGUUAUUAGGGAAGAACAAAUGUGUAAGUAACUAUGCACGUCUUGACGGUACCUAAUCAGAAAGCCACGGCUAACUACGUG